UACGUAGGUCCCGAGCGUUGUCCGGAUUUAUUGGGCGUAAAGAGAACGCAGGCGGUCUUUUAAGUCUGAUGUGAAAGCCUUCGGCUUAACCGGAGUAGUGCAUUGGAAACUGGGAGACUUGAGUGCAGAAGAGGAGAGUGGAACUCCAUGUGUAGCGGUGAAAUGCGUAGAUAUAUGGAAGAACACCAGUGGCGAAAGCGGCUCUCUGGUCUGUAACUGACGCUGAGGUUCGAAAGCGUGGGUAGCAAACAGG
rnacentral:rRNA from 1 species